AGGACUAACGCUGGCGGCGUGCCUAACACAUGCAAGUCGAACGAGAGUAGCAAUACUCUAGUGGCAGACGGGUGAGUAACACGUGGUCAACCUACCUCUAUGUGGGGGGAUAACUAGCCGAAAGGUUAGCUAAUACCGCAUACGAUCGUCGAGCGGCAUCGCUUGACGAUGAAAGGAGCAAUCCGCAGAGAGACGGGACCGCGUCCCAUUAGCUAGUUGGUGGGGUAAAGGCCUACCAAGGCGACGAUGGGUAGCUGGCUUGAGAGAGCGACCAGCCACACUGGGACUGAGACACGGCCCAGACUCCUACGGGAGGCAGCAGUGAGGAAUUUUCCGCAAUGGGCGAAAGCCUGACGGAGCGACGCCGCGUGUGGGAAGAAGGCCUUCGGGUCGUAAACCACUGUCGAAGGGGAAGAUAUUGACGGUACCCUUGGAGGAAGCCCCGGCUAACGUACGCGCCAGCACGCCGC
rnacentral:rRNA from 1 species